AAAAUCCGUCGACUUUAAAAAUCGUGANGGUUCAAGUCCCUCUAUCCCCA
rnacentral:tRNA from 3 species